CCUACGGGAGACAGCAGUGAGGAAUAUUGGUCAAUGGCCGGAAGGCUGAACCAGCCAAGCCGCGUGAAGGACGAAGGUGCCAAGCAUUGUAAACUUCUUUUGUCAAGGGACAAAAUCAGGCCCGAGAGCCCGACCGAGGGUACCUGAAGAAAAAGCAUCGGCUAACUCCGUGCCAGCAGCCGCGGUAAUACGGAGGAUGCGAGCGUUAUCCGGAAUUAUUGGGCUUAAAGGGUGCGUAGGUGGCAUAGUAAGUCAUUUGUAAAAAUGCUGGGCUCAACCCAGUAGGGCAAAAGAAACUGCAAAGCUAGAGUAUGACAGAGGCAAGUGGAACGACAUGUGUAGCGGUAAAAUGCGUAGAUAUAUGUAAGAACCCCAGUGGCGAAGGCAGCUUGCUGGGUCAAUACUGACGUUGAGGCACGAAAGCGUGGGGAGCGAACAGGAUUAGAUACCCGAGUAGUC
rnacentral:rRNA from 1 species